rnacentral:lncRNA from 1 species
UAAGGAUUUGUCAUUCAAUGUGCUCAAUUUAUUUGUGCCAAUAUGAGAUAUAUGAAGUUUGAUUCCAUUACCAACGGUGAGUUUUUUCUUACCACCAUACUCAUGUACCUCAAUCAUAUUUCCUCUUUUAGUAGUUACAUGAUUGCUUGCUCUUGAAUCAGCAGACCAAGCUGAAUCUGUGAUAGUGCUUGAUGAAGCUACAAGAGCAGUUAGUCUUGAGGAAUUUCCUUGGCAUUGCUGAACAAGCUUUGUUCCCAUGUACCUCUCAUCAUAGCAAUUGAAGCACUUUUCUUCUGAAUGGUUGCUCAUUUCACAAAUUUGACAAGGCCCUUUACUUCCAGUCUGCCUAUUGCCUCCGCCUCUACUUCUUUAUCUUUUGUUGUAAUUACUCUUCCACCAUAGUUGAACGUGCCUUCUCUGUUUGCUAUUGAUCAUUGCACAAAAUUUGCUGAGGUGUGGCUCAAAUUAAUUGAGGUCAGGCUGUUUUUGACAAUGUUAAGAUGCUCAAUUCUAGUUUCAAAAGUCAUGAGCAAAGAUUGUAACUCGUGCCAGGAAAUGGAUUCUCUAUUGUUUAUUUGAACGACGAUAGGAGUAUAUUCCUCAUCUAGUCCUGCCAGUACUUGAGUAACAAGAUCAGUAUGAGAGAUGUUUUUCCAGAUGUUUCGAGAUUAUCUGCUAGCUGCUUAAUCGUGUUGAGGUAUUGAUCAAUACUUAUUGAACCUUUCUUUGUUCUUUGAAGCUCAUUGAUAACGUAUGUUACUCUUGAUUUGUUCAUCACUCCAAAACUCUCCUAGACAGCAUUCCAGAGGUUGCAAGAAGUUGAGGAACCCAUCACUCUCAUAGCAAUUUCAGGUGUCAAUGUUGAAUAGAGCCAACCCAUCAGUAGUUGAUCAACGGACAUCCACUUUCCAUACUCAGCAUUUGG